ensembl:misc_RNA Metazoa_SRP Metazoan signal recognition particle RNA
GCUGGGUGUGGUGGCGCCUGCCUGUAGUCCCAGCUGCUUGGGGGGCUGAGGCAGGAGGAUUGCUUGAACCCAGGUGGUCGAGGCUGCAGUGAGUCCAGAUGGUGCCACUACACUCCAGCCUGGGUGACAAAGUGAGACCCUGUCUCAA